rnacentral:rRNA from 1 species
UACGUAGGGUGCAAGCGUUAAUCGGAAUUACUGGGCGUAAAGCGUGCGCAGGCGGCUCUGCAAGACAGAUGUGAAAUCCCCGGGCUCAACCUGGGAAUUGCAUUUGUGACUGCAGCGCUGGAGUGCGGCAGAGGGAGGUGGAAUUCCGCGUGUAGCAGUGAAAUGCGUAGAGAUGCGGAGGAACACCGAUGGCGAAGGCAGCCCCCUGGGCUAACACUGACGCUGAGGCACGAAAGCGUGGGGAGCAAACAGG